UCGUCAAGCACCCAUUUACACUAAUCCUGCAUUAAUCGUAUUUUAUUCUCCGUCCAGCACCCACCUACAGUAGUGGCAACUUGCAGCAGCCAAUUAUACUAUCGACCCACACGUUGUUGGGGUGUGGGAGGAAACCGGAGGACCUAGAGGAACCUCACACGAUCACAGGGAGAACCUGCAAACUCCAGUUCAGGAAUGUUUUCCUUUGGGCAAUCACACUUCUGAAGGUUCCCGGUGAAUUGGCUCUGUCCAACCUUCCUGUCAUCGGACACCAGACAAAGUUGUUGGGACAGGUGACAAUACCAACAACUCACCGUUGAAGAAAUAAUUUCCUCAGCACGGUAACAGGCCCUUCCAGCCCAACAAGCCUGCGCCACUCAAUUACACCCAUGUUAACCUACUAACCCAUACGUCUUUGGAAUGUGGGAGGAAACCGGAGCACCCGGAGGAAACCCGCGCAGUCAUGGGGAGAACAUACAAACUCC